GGCAGAACUGGUUUGGACAGGUGGGGCCUGAGAGUGUGGGCUGAGGGGCUGGUCCUCCACAGGGGAAGGGAAGCCACUUCUGAGAUGGGGAAGGAGCGCUGCAGAUGGGUGCAGGAGAAUGUUGGGGAGCCUGAGAAGGAGACUGAGGGGCCUGCUGUGGACGAGUGGAUGGCCGUGCCCACAGAUGCUGGCAGAAUCUCGAAGGUUGAUUGCAGAAAUGGCUCAAUUCUCAACCUCUCACAAUGUGGUCCUGCUGGUCCUCCAUCAAGAGACGACUAUCUCCUCACCCUAGGAGGAUGUCAAGGUAGAGAGAAACCAGAUGACUGGCUCAGGGAUGCAUGCAUACAAGGAUGGACCAUGAGGAAAAUGGGAUCCAGGAUGUGUCAAUUCCAUCUUGCUGCUUUUUGGUCAUUGUCCCAGCUCUACAAGAUGGCUGAAAUCUUAACUUCUCAGCAGUUUCUUCCAGGCUUCUUAGCCUCUGGUUGCUAUUUACUAAUUGGUGAAUACCUCAGGAGAAGACAGAAUAUAGGUCUCACGAUUUCUCUUCUCCUUGAGUUCUUGAUCCUUGAAGUUAAGUAGUUCCCCAAUUCCUUCAAACAGAAUAUUUUAAAGGCAUUUAUCUGGCUUUUUCUUGUCUUCAGGGAGAAGUUUUGUAUGAUCUAAGCUAGCUGUCACCUUCAUUAUGACAUCUUUCCUGACACCCUGUAGAAACUGCAACAUAUCACCUCUCUUCCUCUAUUCUGAUACUUUCAUUUAUCUUUUCUGCAUUUAUUUCCUGUACAACAUUCAUCAGUAUUUAUACACCAUAUUUGUUUAUUAUUUAUGUGUAAUCUUCACAAAAUAAAGGCUCAAGAGAGAAAGAAUCUAUAUAUGUUUUUUUCUUCCAUUGUAUUCUUUCUAGGCCCUAGAACAAACAAUGCUUGCAAUGGAGAUUAAUUAAUCAACCAAAUUAAAAAUUUGGGAGAAGAUAUUCUCAAAUGAAAGUACAGACAAAGGGCUGAUAUUCAAGAUCUAUAAAGAACUCCUCAAAUUCAACACACACAAAACAGAUAACACGUCCAAAAAUGGGUGGAAGAUAUGAACAGACACUUCUCCAAAGAAGACAUACAAAUGGCUAACAGACUCAUGAGAAAACUCAUCACUAGCCACCAGGGAGAUUCAAAUCAAAACCACAUUGAGAUAUCACCUUACACCAGUUAGAAUGGCCAAAAUUAACAAGGCAGGAAACAACAUGUGCUGGAGAGGAUGUGGAGAAAGAGGAACCCUCUUACACUGUUGGUGGGAAUGCAAGCUGGUGCAGCCACUUUGGAAAACAGUGUGGAGAUUUCUUAAGAAAUUAAAUAUAGAGCUUCACUAUGACGCUGCAAUUGCACUAUUGGGUAUUUACCCUAAAGAUACAGAUGUAGUGAAAAGAAGGGCCAAUGUUCAUAGCAGCAACAGCCAGUCACCGAACUCUGGAAAGAACCAAGAUGCCCUUCAACAGAAGAUAUGGUCCAGAUAUACUCCGGAUUAUUAUACCUCCAUCAGAAAGGAUGAAUACCCAACUUUUGUAUCAGUAUAGAUGGGACUGAAGGAGAUUAUGUGAGUGAAAUAAGUCAAGUGAGAAAGUCAAUUAUCAUAUGGUUUCCGUUUCUUAUGGAGCAUAAGGAAUAAAACUGAAGAAAUUGGGAGAAGGAUGGGAGAAGCGAGUUGGGGGAAAUUGGAGGGGAAGAUGAACCAUGAUAGACUGUGGACUCUGAGAAACUAA